AAAGCUUUUAGCUGUUAACUAAAUGUAUGUGGGAUAAAGUCCUGCAAAUCCUAAUUA
rnacentral:tRNA from 1 species